rnacentral:rRNA from 1 species
UACGUAGGGUGCAAGCGUUAAUCGGAAUUACUGGGCGUAAAGCGUACGCAGGCGGCUAUGUAAGACAGGUGUGAAAUCCCCGGGCUUAACCUGGGAACUGCAUUUGUGACUGCAUAGCUAGAGUCUGUCAGAGGGGGGUGGAAUUCCACGUGUAGCAGUGAAAUGCGUAGAGAUGUGGAGGAACACCGGUGGCGAAGGCGGGUCUCUGGGUCGAUAUCGACGCUGAGGAGCGAAAGCGUGGGGAGCGAACAGG